UACAGAGGUCCCAAGCGUUGUUCGGAUUCAUUGGGCGUAAAGGGUGCGUAGGUGGCGUCGUAAGUCGGGUGUGAAAUCUCGGGGCUUAACUCCGAAACUGCAUUCGAUACUGCGGUGCUUGAGGACUGGAGAGGAGACUGGAAUUUACGGUGUAGCAGUGAAAUGCGUAGAGAUGCGGAGGAACACCGAUGGCGAAGGCAGCCCCCUGGGCCAACACUGACGCUCAGGCACGAAAGCGUGGGGAGCAAACAGG
rnacentral:rRNA from 1 species